GGAAAUGAAAGAGGAAAAGCAAACUUUCCCCAUUUACGGUCACAUGGAGAGUUUACCAAGGAAUAAUGGUCAUUAAAUUACAUGAGAGAGUAUUGAAAACGGAAUCUGACUUUGGGCAGUGGGAAAUUUCCUCCAUUAAUGCUUUUAAAACUAGUUUUUAAAGAAAAGAAAAAAAUGGAUCUGAACUUAAUAAAGUGACGUUCGAAUACAUCUCUCCUUUCCCACUUUAAAAUCCUAACAUUUCUCUCUCUCUAUUAAACACUCCUCCUAAAUAAGAAUUGGAAUAAUAAAACAAUUAAAUAGGAAUUAAAAUGUUGUCAUCCCAAACCAAAUACACACAAGCCGCAUUAUUGCCGACUUCUCCACUUUCUCACGACCUUCUCUCUCUGCCGUUUCAUUCUCUCUCUCCAAAUGAAACAAACCGCUUCCUUUUAGCUUCUCUAACAUUACUUAAAAGAAACACUUACCUCUAAUCAGCAUAAAACCCCCUUCAACAUCACAAAAGUAGAUCUAUAUUCUACAGCCAUACAUCCUAUGAAUCCUAAUCGCAAACGAAACCCAAAUAUCGAACCCGAAACCAAACCAUAUAUUUACAUAGGUGCAAGGUUGCGGGAAGAAAAAGAAGAACUAUGCAUGCAUUUGGUUGUAUCAAAGUAACUCAAAAUCAACAAUAAUAGCAAGGGAUUUUACCAGAUCGAGGUAUCUUGAGGAUGAACGAACGGGUGAAGUGAUGUUGAUUAGGAAAGGAGGCGGCGCCAGCUUGGGAUUGGGGCGUUGGAGCAUCCAAAAGAGCUUUUGGAAAAGUCUUGGAAGCUGUUUCAAUCUGUUGGAUACUCAACUUGUUCAAUUUUUCUUCAAAUUUAUUUAGCUGUAACAAAACUUUUGGAUUGUAACUUUAGGGACUAAUCAUGUAACCUCUGUUGAAUUAUUUGUAAGAUCUGCAUAUUUUAAACUCUUUUGAUUAUGCCUUGGCCUUUUUUGGAGUAAUUUGUAACAUUUGGAUUUAAUUAGAACUUUGAAUUUAAUUGGAA